ensembl:lncRNA
CUAAGGAAUUGGAAAGUACAUAGAUAAGGGGAACACCUUAUCUUGAAAAGUGCUGUAGUGUAUAUCCUCCAUAGGCUGGGAGUGAACCUAAGAGAUGCUGCCAUUGAAAUGCAAUCCCUGAUAUCAGUAGGGAUGACAGGAGCCUGGAGUGGCAGUGGCCAAGAGACUGUACCAUGGCAACAGAGCUGGAGUGAUGAAACAGAACCUACUAAGGUCCUAGCUGGUUUGUAUAACAAAGCAAAAUUCCAGGUCUGGCAAAGAGAAGCCUGGUUUGAGUCACCAAAAUGGAGAGUUAUGGACAGUCACUAAAUUCUCAGACCCAAGGCCCUUGAAUAAACGGGUGCUGGGUACCCUGGAGGAAGCACCCAGCAAUAUCACCAUAAGUGAAUUGGACAUCUUUUAGUCUUCCACAAACGAAUCUUAAGGCAUUUACCUAUGUUCAUCUAUUUAGGGAAAUGGAAAUACCCAGGCUUUUGGGGAAUACUUAGAAACCGGCCCUAAGCCACCAGUAAUCCCAAGGGACCUAAAAGGUCUUUGUGGUCCACUAGUUAGAAUAGAGGCUUAUGGGGGUGUUAUGGGUUGAAUUAUGUCCCCCAAAAUCACUAUGUUGGAAUCCUAACCCCCAAUACCUCAGAAUGUGACCCUAUUUGGAAAUAGGGUGGUUGCAGAUGUGGUUCAAGUAAGAUGAGACUGUACUGGAGUAGGGUGGGCCCCUAAUCCAGUGUGAUUGGUGCUGUAUGAUAAGGGGAAGUUUGGACACAGAGACACAAGUGCAGAGAGAACACCAUGUGAAGACAAAGGCAGUGAUGGGGAUGAUGCAGCAGAAGACAAAGAAUGCCAAAGAUCGCCAGCAAACCACCAGAAGCCAGGAGAGAGGCCUGGGGCAGAUUCUCCCUCACAGCCCCCAGAAGGAACCAACCCUGCCAACCCUUUGAUCUCGGACUUCCAGCCUCCCAAACUGCACAGUUGUAGCAGACAUACUUGACCGCUGGCAGAAUCUUCACAGUGACCCACAGAGUGAAAGCUAUUGUGGUGGGAAGAGCAAAGGAAAGUCCCUGGAACUGUCCUUCCCCACCAGAUCAUAAUCCAAAAGCGACAGUGCAUCCCUGAGGGCACGACAGAUAUUACCGUCACCAUCAAAGACUGAGAAAUUUGGGAGCGCUGAUCUCUAUCUUAUCUGCGUGUAAAUGAUUUGUUUGCCCUGUGCAGUACUUGAGUUGUAGCUGUUACAAUCUCUUUACGAAGCAAGUCAACACCUGCCCUGGCACCUGCAGACAUGCAAGUAUCAGUCUGAAAUAUGCUUUCUUCUGUAGCCCAAAGAGCAGAAAACAUCAAAGCAGGUUCCUUUCACCUGUCAGGGUCAACAGUCCAUCUUACUGUCCCACACCUGGGCAUAUCACCUCUCCAGCUCUGCUGAAAUCUCCUCUGCAGUCGCUUUAAUCAUCUCACCUUUCCCAGAACAUCACUCUACAUGUGGUGACGUGUUUUUGGACCUAAUAAGCAAGAAGUAGCAGGUGAGUCACCACCACAGCAUGGCUGCUAAUAGACUAGUGGUGGAGGUCCACACCCGGGAUCUGAACCCAGG